rnacentral:rRNA from 1 species
GACGAACGCUGGCGGCGUGCCUAAUACAUGCAAGUAGAACGCUGAAGGAGGAGCUUGCUCUUCUGGAUGAGUUGCGAACGGGUGAGUAACGCGUAGGUAACCUGCCUGGUAGCGGGGGAUAACUAUUGGAAACGAUAGCUAAUACCGCAUAAGAGUAGAUGUUGCAUGACAUUUGCUUAAAAGGUGCAAUUGCAUCACUACCAGAUGGACCUGCGUUGUAUUAGCUAGUUGGUGGGGUAACGGCUCACCAAGGCGACGAUACAUAGCCGACCUGAGAGGGUGAUCGGCCACACUGGGACUGAGACACGGCCCAGACUCCUACGGGAGGCAGCAGUAGGGAAUCUUCGGCAAUGGACGGAAGUCUGACCGAGCAACGCCGCGGGAGGGAAGAAGGUUUUCGGAUCGUAAAGCUCUGUUGUAAGAGAAGAACGAGUGUGAGAGUGGAAAGUUCACACUGUGACGGUAUCUUACCAGAAAGGGACGGCUAACUACGUG